CAGGCCGGCCGGGCGGUCGCGCCUCGCCUUCGCGGCGGGGUGAGGAAAGUCCGGGCUCCACAGGGCGCGGUGCUGGGUAACACCCAGGCGGGGUAACCCGCGGACAGGGCCACAGAAACAGACCGCCAGCGGGCACCGGCGGCCGGAAGGUCGCCGGUGCUGCGGGCAAGGGUGAAAAGGUGGUGUAAGAGACCACCGGCGCCCGGGGUGACCCGGGCGGCCAGGCAACCCCCACCGGGAGCAAGGCCAAGCAGGGGCGAGCAGGGGUGCAGUUCGCUGCGCCCUCACGGGGCGGCCCGUCCCGUCCGAGCCCCGGGUAGGCCGCUCGAGGCGGCGGGCAACCGCCGUCCCAGAUAGAUGACCGCCACCCCGGCGGACGCGAUCGAUCGCGUCCCCACGGGGUACAGAACCCGGCUUACAGGCCGACCUGGGUG
rnacentral:RNase_P_RNA from 1 species